AUGACUUGUUUGUGGAUUUUAAUUUUGAUCUUCAGCACCAUGUAUCCACUCCAACCUGGUAGACGCUGGGUUGCUGCACAAUCCCUCACAGAGUCAGGAGUUUAUCAGCCUGAUAAAGAGCUCAGUGUGGAUAUCGGAGACUCGGCGACUCUGCAGUGUUGUAUUUCUGAAAAUGUAUAUGGGAUAAUCGCCUGGUUUAAGCAACCGAACAGACAAAAACCUCAGAUUAUAGUCACGGUGUAUAAAAGUGGGGGAGAAACAUUUUACAAUGAAUCCCAAAAGUCACGUUUCCAAAUAGAAAGAUCUUCAAACUGCUUAAAUAUUACAUUUUUAAACACCUUUCAGUCUGAUGAAGCCAUGUACUACUGUGCACUGACGAGACCCAACCUUGUGUUUGGAGAUGGAACUCAUUUAAAAAUUAAAGAAACAUCUAAACCAGCUCUGGGUGAUAAUUCAGUGGGCUGUGAACCAACACUGCAUGGAAACAGCACUAACAUGAACACACAAGAGAAAACAGGUCAGAUGCCUGAUAAUUCACUAUUAAUUAAUCAUCCUUAA